rnacentral:rRNA from 1 species
GAUGAACGCUGGCGGCGUGCUUAACACAUGCAAGUCGAGCGAGAAACUACAUGCAGACACUUCGGUAGAAGCGAGUAGCGGAAAGCGGCGGACGGGUGAGUAACGCGUAGGCAACCUGCCCUUCACAGAGGUAUAGCCUCGGGAAACCGGGAUUAAAACCACAUAAAAUCAUAGGUUCGCAUGAACCAAAGGUCAAAGAUUUAUCGGUGAAGGAUGGGCCUGCGUCUGAUUAGCUGGUUGGUAGGGUAAAAGCCUACCAAGGCGACGAUCAGUAGCCGACCUGAGAGGGUGAUCGGCCACACUGGAACUGAGACACGGUCCAAACUCCUACGGGAGGCAGCAGUGGGGGAUAUUGCACAAUGGGGGAAACCCUGAUGCAGCAACGCCGCGUGAGGUAUGAAGGCCUUUGGGUUGUAAGCCUCUGUCCUAGGGGAAGAAAAAAAAUGAACGGUACCCCGAGGAGAAAGCCCCGG